rnacentral:rRNA from 1 species
CUAUGAGAAAGCCCCNCGUCCCCGAGGGAGAAAGCGAAAGGNUCCCGUAACCGCAGGGCCGAACAGGAAGAGCGNCAACGAGGAGCUUCCAGGGGGAAACCGCCUGGAAUCCUAAAAGUCCGUCAUUAUGGCUGUCGUCAGCUCGUGUGUGAGAUGUUGGGUUAAGUCCCGCAACGAGCGCAACCCUCGUCUUUAGUUGCUACCAUUUAGUUGAGCACUCUAAAGAAACUGCCGGUGAUAAGCCGGAGGAAGGUGGGGAUGACGUCAAGUCCUCAUGGCCUUACGCGCUGGGCUACACACGUGCUACAAUGGCGGUGACAAAGGGCAGCAAACCCGCGAGGGCGAGCAAAUCCCAAAAAGCCGUCUCAGUUCGGAUUGUUCUCUGCAACUCGAGAGCAUGAAGGCGGAAUCGCUAGUAAUCGCGGAUCAGCACGCCGCGGUGAAUACGUUCCCAGGCCUUGUACACACCGCCCGUGGGGCGGGGGCGCAANCCUAAUGUA